AACACAACGUUUUCUUUUCUAUAACCUAAUAUCCAAGAGGUUUUUAUCUCCUCGAUUAGUCGAUUCAUAGCCUCCGAUGAUACUCCUGGCCAGGCCUAAGAUCUGGUGAUACCAUGAAUUCACAAUUUCAGAUUCAAAAUCCGGCUUCAUCUGUCAAACUCUCCUCUCUUCUCCCCUGUCACGAGAGAGCAAAUGGCUACAAAAAUCAGUAAAGGAGUCACCUUCAACCUGAUAUAAUCUUUUGUCUGCAACAAUUUCUUGGAAGACUUGCGCUGAGCGGCGGAUUGGUGUUGUCUCAGACGAUUGAAGUGUGAAGACGAUCCUAGAAAGACUGCAGGAACUAGAAGGAUGAUGUACUUCCAUGGUUUUACUUCUUCUGGGUGAUCUAUCAUGGAUCACUGAUUCAGUAUGCAACUGAGGUAAUCUGUACUUCAGCAAGGCAGUAUCUUUGAGAUUGGAACACAAUGAACAAUGGAAGAAAUGUCACAGUAUCUGUGAAGGCUCUCAGAUUAUCUAUGAUGAUGGUUCAAAGAUUCAUUCAUGUAACAAGAAUGAGUUGAUUGUUUUAUAGUGUUGUUGAAACUUUUUAAACAGGAAAUAGCGUCAUUAUUAUUAUCAUUGGUUGUUUUACA